rnacentral:misc_RNA from 1 species
GAUGAAGAACGCAGCGAAAUGCGAUAAGUAGUGUGAAUUGCAGAAUUCAGUGAAUCAUCGAAUCUUUGAACGCACAUUGCGCCCCUUGGUAUCCCGAGGGGCAUGCCUGUUCGAGCGUCAUUUCACCACUCAAGCCUGGCUUGGUGUUGGGCGACGUCCCCUUUGGGGACGCGCCUCGAAACGCUCGGCGGCGUGGCACCGGCUUUAAGCGUAGCAGAAUCUUUCGCUUUGGAAGUCGGGGCCCCGUCUGCCGGAAGACCUACUCGCAAGGUUGAACUCGGAUCAGGCAGGGAUACCCGCUGAACUUAAGCAUAUCAAUAAGCGGAGGA